rnacentral:misc_RNA from 1 species
AAGGAUCAUUCAUAAUCAAAGUGUUUUUAUGGCACUUUUAAAAAAAAUCCAUAUCCACCUUGUGUGCAAUGUCAUCUCACUGGAGGUCAGCGGCUGUAAAAAGCCGUUUGGUCACCUUUGGGAUUUAUAUCUACUCAGAACUUUAGUGAUUUUGUCUGAAAAAUAUUAUGAAUAAACAAUUCAAAAUACAACUUUCAACAACGGAUCUCUUGGCUCUC